rnacentral:lncRNA from 1 species
CCGGUCUAAAAAAAAGAAAGACUCAGACCAAGGAGAUCCAACAUGUAACAUAGAAUAGUAGAGGAUCCAGCAUGCCGAACAUGGCCAUCAUUAGAAAUUCACGAAAGAUGCUGCAAUAUACUCUUUCCUAUACCCAUUUGUUGCUCGAUAAGGUGGUGGCAUCUAAAUACAUAGGUAAUAAGAAAACCAUAGUGAAAUGAAUAAGUGUGAAGGAACCAAUAGGGUGAAAAACUCCCUUAAAUCCAAUCUAUGUCUCAUAUUUAUAGGAUAUGAUCGUAAGAGAGAAAGAUAGAAAAACUCUUAAGUACUAAAGUAAAAUUCUUUAUCUUUUCCCUUAACUUUUCUCGAUUAAUUUAGUGGAUGGUCGAAGCCACUGUGCUAGUCUUCUUACCGAUAUUGUCAGCUCAUGUACACGGUUCCUUGCUGAUAUUAUUAGCUAAUGUAUUAUUGCCCUGUAAGAUCAAGUUAGGAAAUAUCCACGAAUUAAGUUAUCAAUACUUAAAAUGAAUUAAAUACAUGUAAAAAAAAUAAAAUUAAGUGACAAAGGUAGUGUAGCAAACACGGAUGAACAUGAUGUGAUGUGAGCAUCAGCAGUUCAUCUUUUUCUUUUGUCAUAUCAUAAAGUGGAGAUUGGAUAGCAGAUUAAGGAUGGGUAGAUUCCGCACCUUUAGCGAAAUCGCUGACUAGAAGAGGGCCAUAGGGAACCUUGUAUAUUUCCCACUCCAUGAUUUUCUCUCAGGGCACGAGCUGUCUGCUGGGUUUACUAAAAAUGCUUUGCAAGGCAAUAAUAAAACUUGCAAGAAGAGAUGUCUUUUACAAAAUGAUCUUUUGUUCUUAUCACAUCUUUGUGGUUUCUAUGCAUUUGUCCGCAGCUUACA